ensembl:lncRNA novel transcript
GCUUGCAACACCAUGAAAAAAUUACUGAGACACUAGGAAUGCUGUGAACUGAGAAAGUUUGGGACCUUUGGCAUAACUAAAUCCUUCAUUUAACAGAUGGAGUCUCAGUCUGUCACUAAGGCUGGAGUGCAGUGGCGCGAUCUCGGCUCACUGCAACCUCCACCUCCCGGGUUCACGCGAUUCUCCAGCCUCAGCCUUCCACGUAGCUGGGACUACAGGUGCAUGCCACCACACCCAGUUUUCCUCAAUAGGUGAACUCAGAAAACAGGAGAAUUACACUAAGUGCUCAUUACUUUCCUAGUGUUGUGAACCACUUGUCAUGGGAUAACCAAAAUUAAACCUGGAAUCGCAGAAGAAACAAAUUUUUUGAAGAAAUUGGAUGUACUUUUUUAAAAUUUUUCAUUCAACUAAAACUUUGUUAACUGUUUCUUGGUUGUGGUCUUCUCUAAAUUGUAAUCUUUGGCAUUCACUUCCAAAGUAUCCACCACUAAACUUCAUAACAUUUAUUGUGUCUCUUCAUCAUUAAACUUUGAUGAAUUUA